rnacentral:rRNA from 1 species
UACGUAGGGGGCUAGCGUUAUCCGGAAUUACUGGGCGUAAAGGGUGCGUAGGUGGUUUCUUAAGUCAGAGGUGAAAGGCUACGGCUCAACCGUAGUAAGCCUUUGAAACUGAGAAACUUGAGUGCAGGAGAGGAGAGUAGAAUUCCUAGUGUAGCGGUGAAAUGCGUAGAUAUUAGGAGGAACACCAGUUGCGAAGGCGGCUGCCUGGACUGUAACUGACGCUGAGGCGCGAAAGCGUGGGGAGCAAACAGGAUUAGAUACCCGGGUAGUCCCUGAG